AUACGUAGGGGGCAAGCGUUGUCCGGAUUUAUUGGGUGUAAAGGGUGCUCAGGUGGAUUUGUAAGUCAGAGGUGAAAUCUUCCGGCUCAACCGGGAAACUGCCUUUGAUACUGCAAGCCUUGAGUUUGGAAGAGGAUGAUGGAAUAUCUGGUGUAGCAGUGAAAUGCGUAGAUAUCAGAUAGAACACCAAUGGCGAAGGCAGUCAUCUGGUCCAUAACUGACACUAAAGCACGAAAGCGUGGGUAGCAAACAGGAUUAGAUACCCUGGUAGUCCACGCCCUAAACGAUGAAUACUAGACGUUGGGUCCGCAAGGAUUCAGUGUCUGAGCUAACGCAUUAAGUAUUCCACCUGGGAAGUACGAUCGCAAGGUUGAA
rnacentral:rRNA from 1 species